rnacentral:tRNA from 2 species
GAGGUUGUGGCUCAGUGGUAGAGCACUUGCCUAGCAUGUGUGAGGCACUGGGUUCAAUUCUCAGCACCACA